AACAAAUGAAUGAAAAAUUUUCAAAGCACCAGCAGACAAAUCACUAAACACUAAAAUUAUGCAACUUAUAAUUUCUUAUGACUCAGAAUGUCCAGAUCUUAUAACUCAGGAUAAUAUUUAAAUCAACUCAAUCAGCAACAUCCAGAUGUGUUAUUCAAGAAGGAAGAGUUCUCAGAAGAUGUAGACUGUGUGAGCAAUGGAUUGGAAGGUGGCAAGACAGAGCAUGUGAACAGAUCAGUUAAGAGGCUCCUGGAGCAACCUGGGGGAGGAAUAACAUUCAACUGACUUCAUGGUAGCAGAAGACCAGAAAACCAGACAGACUCAAGAGGUUGGAAGAAAGAUCUGGUGACUAAGAGAUGACAGGUGCAUUUCCCCAAAUUAACCACUACAUUCUCAAAGGCAGGGACAAGCCUUUUGCUUUUCCAAUAUCUUCACCCCCGAGAGCCCAGUCCAAGGCACAGCCAUGGAGGCACCCAUCAAAUAUUGAGAGGCUGAGUGAGUGAAAGGGCUGAAGAAUAUGCUGGACCUGGUGUUUCUCUAGACUACACAGCUGCCCCACCUGAGGCAAGGGAAGAUUGAUGUCACUGUUGUCAUCUGGGAUGCUUUUGUUUGGUUUGUGCACAAUAUCAGGAUGGGGAACCAAAGGACUAUCUUUAAGCUUUAGUUGGCUCUCUAGUCUGUUUGUUUCAAAAGACAAUCUCAAGCAUGUGUCUUAGCCACUGGUAGCUGGGAAGAGACAUGACUGACUUUCCACACUGGCAGAUAGCAAUCGGAGAAAAGAUGAUCCAAUUUAGACGAAUUCAUGCCAACUGAGACUCAGAAACAGAGCCAGAAAUACACAGCAGCCAGUGAGCAAACAGCACCUUUUCCCCCAGCUUUAUUGAAGUAUGAUUAACAAACAAAAAUUUUAUCUGUUUAAGGUGUACAGCAUGAUGAUGUGAUAUACAUAUACACUUGGAAUGACUACCUUACCUCACAUAGCCACGCUCUUUUUGUUGUGGUGAGAACACUUAAGAUCUACUCUUUCAGCAAAUUUGAAGUAUAUGAUACGUUUAUUGUCAACCAUAGUCACCAUGCUGUACAAUAGGUCUCUAGAACUUACUCAUCAUAUAACUGAAAGUCUGUACUCUUUAAGCAGCAUCUCCCCAUUACCCCAGCCCUCCAGCCCCUGGUAACCACUGUUCUACUGUUUUUAUGAGUUUGACUCUUUUAGAUCCACAUGUGAUACCAUGCAGUA